rnacentral:rRNA from 1 species
AUUAAAACAGUUAUAGUUUAUUUGAUAGUGCAAAUUACAUGGAUAACCGUGGUAAUUCUAGAGCUAAUACAUGCGCAAAUACCGGACGCAAGAAUGGUAGCAUUUAUUAGAUUUAACCAUCACAUGGUGAAUCAUAGUAACUUAGCUGACCGCGUGUAUACGUGGUAAAUCAUUCAAGUUUCUGCCCUAUCAGCUUUCGAUGGUAGUGUAUUGGACUACCAUGGCAGUCACGGGUAACGGAGAAUUAGGGUUCGAUUCCGGAGAGGGAGCCUGAGAAACGGCUACCACAUCUAAGGAAGGCAGCAGGCGCGUAAAUUACCCAAUCCCGAUUCGGGGAGGUAGUGACAAGAAAUAGCAACUCGUGCGGGUUUCCGUUACGGGAUUGCAAUGAGAUAAGUCCAAAUCCGUAAACGAUUAACAAUUGGAGGGCAAGUCUGGUGCCAGCAGCCGCGGUAAUUCCAGCUCCAAUAGCGUAUACUUAAGUUGUUGCAGUUAAAAAGCUCGUAGUUGAAAUUCGAGUCAGUUACUAGUUGGCUUUUCGUCAGUUAGUUAAUUGAUUCUCCGUCUACAAUCCCUUUUGCGCUUUAGGGUUGCAGCUGGGCGAGUAGACAAUUUACCUUGAAAAAAUUAGAGUGUUCCAGGCAGGUCUUCGCCGGAAUACAUUAGCAUGGAAUAAUGGAAUAGGACUUGGGUCUUUUGUUGGUUUUAGGACUUGAGUAAUGAUUAAUAGGGACAGAUGGGGGCAUUAGUAUUUAAUUGUCAGAGGUGAAAUUCUUGGAUUUAUUAAAGACUAACUUAUGCGAAAGCAUUUGCCAAGGAUGUUUUCAUUAAUCAAGAACGAAAGUUAGGGGAUCAAAGACGAUCAGAUACCGUCGUAGUCUUAACUAUAAACUAUACCGACUCGAGAUCGGAAGGGUAAUAUAUUAGUCCCUUUCGGCAUCGUAAGAGAAAUCAAAGUCUUUGGGUUCUGGGGGGAGUAUGGUCGCAAGGCUGAAACUUAAAGGAAUUGACGGAAGGGCACCACCAGGAGUGGAGCCUGCGGCUUAAUUUGACUCAACACGGGGAAACUUACCAGGUCAAAACAUGGAUGGGA